rfam:Triticum aestivum genome assembly, contig: Triticum_aestivum_CS42_TGACv1_scaffold_177437_2DS
CAAGUACUCCCUCCGUCCCUAAAAAUUUUGUCACAGAUUUGUCUAGAUACAGAUGUACCUAGACAUGUUUUGAUGUUAGAUUCAUCCGUAUCUAAAUAAUUUUAAGACAAAUAUUUUAGCACGGAGGUAAUAAUAG